UUACUUGCAGGCCACAAGAA
rnacentral:siRNA from 1 species